UACGUAGGGUGCGAGCGUUGUCCGGAAUUAUUGGGCGUAAAGAGCUCGUAGGCGGUCUGUCGCGUCGGUCGUGAAAACUUGGGACUUAACCCUGAGCUUGCGGUCGAUACGGGCAUGACUGGAGUUCGGUAGGGGAGACUGGAAUUCCUGGUGUAGCGGUGAAAUGCGCAGAUAUCAGGAGGAACACCGGUGGCGAAGGCGGGUCUCUGGGCCGAUACUGACGCUGAGGAGCGAAAGCGUGGGAGCAACAGG
rnacentral:rRNA from 1 species